UACGUAGGGGGCAAGCGUUGUCCGGAAUCAUUGGGCGUAAAGCGCGUGUAGGCGGCCCGGUAAGUCCGCUGUGAAAGUCCAGGGCUCAACCCUGGAAGGCCGGUGGAUACUGUCGGGCUCGAGUCCGGAAGAGGCGAGUGGAAUUCCUGGUGUAGCGGUGAAAUGCGCAGAUAUCAGGAGGAACACCAAUGGCGAAGGCAGCUCGCUGGGACGGUACUGACGCUGAGACGCGAAAGCGUGGGGAGCAAACAGG
rnacentral:rRNA from 1 species